rnacentral:lncRNA from 1 species
UAAAUAUCGUCAUAAGUUAUACUAAAACAUGCAUUGCAUUAAGAUGUGAGAUCAAAGCACAACUAAAAAAAGGACAUGAAAUCCACUUCUCACUAGUUAUAUUCCUCGCUAAAUAGUCCUCACCUACAAGCUGCAGUUAUCUGUUCCAUAUAAUUUAGUCAUGUUUGACAAGUUGACUACCCAAGAUAUUACUAUCUUAAUUAUUUCAUCGUAGGAAAAUAUGUUACAAUCUUAUUAAGAUGGAAUUAACUGAUUAACACACAUGAUGUGUGUGGACACGGAUUAGACAGCCUUUUCGCUCACAAUGCAAACACCACACAUGACUAAUGACUCGCUGUCACGUUAAUCACCUUGUAUAUAUAUGCUUAUAUAUAUCUUAAUCAGUCAGUAGCUUGUGGCUUAAUUGAUCCUAUGAUUUUAUUUCUAAAGAAGAGGCUAAUUGGAAUAAUAAACAAAAGAAGAAUUGCAAGUUCUCUGCUACGUACUACCACGCCGAGGAUUAAAAAAAUGGCAGGAAGGUGAUGAUGGCAAGCAACAAGUGUCACGGUGACUGAUAGAGCCAUUGACUAAUGCAGUGAUGCUAUGUCCUGAUGCCGUUGUCGGAUGGCUGCAUUUCGCAUAUAUAAUUGGAUGCCAUUUGACAAUAUGUUUAAUUAGAUGGCUUUGUCUCCCUAACUAAACCAUGCGUGCUUUCUAGCUGUUGUUGUUAGUAUUAUAUCAUGGAUCUGUUGGAUUUAUAGAGCUAAUAGUUAGCUGCUAAUAGUUAGCUCUUUUGAUUUAGAAUGAUCUAAUUAAUUAAUAAUCUAGCUAAUUGUUAGCUGGAUAUUCAAACAAAACAAAAAUAUUUUACUAGUUGGGACUAAAUCAGCUAUAAUAGCAGCUCAUAGUUACCUAGCAAAUAUUAGACAUGGAUCAUUAGCUAGUUAAUAACUAUCAACACUUAACGGAUCCAAACAAAACCUAUGUUACCGCCAUCGGUGGAUGCACCCAUGGCAUCAAUCACGUCAAGUUCUCCCGCGUUGAGCAUAAAAAAAAUUCUUUGUAGUCAUCAACUCAUCAUCGAGAGCUAACGAGGGAGCCUAUUUGAAUUGUUUCGUUUUCAAAAUUUUUCAAGAUUCUCCGUCACAUCGAAUCUUGCGGUACAUGCAUGAAUCAUUAAAUAUAAAUAAAAAAGAUAACUAAUUACACAAUUUACCUGUAAUUUACGAGACGAAUUUGUUAAGCCUAGUUAAUCUAUAAUUAGAUAAUUAUUACUAAAUAAAAACGAAAGUGCUACGGUUGCGAAAUCCAAAUUUUUUCACGAACUAAACAAGGUCUAAACAGAACUGAAGAAGUUUCAAAUGAAAAAAAAAAGAAAAGAAGGUAAAAGGGAAAAGAAAAGGCCACAGAAGAAGCCCAUGCAUGAAUCCCAGGGGCCUAAGGUAAGGUCCUUUCCGUCAAAUGGUUAUGGGCCCGUGACAAUCUCCCUUUCCCGGCCCACAUCACACCCUCCAUCCAUCGUCAAAGGCCCAACGGGGGCACCGGCGACGACGACGUGACGGACGACUAUAGGCAAGCAGAAGCAGCGCAGUGGAAACGUGGAAUCCGCGAGGAGCUGUUGGAUUUCGACGCGAGCAGGCAGAGUGGCGCAGAGAGAGAGAGAGAGAGGCACAGAGCAAACAGGUGUCGCAAUAAUUGACGAGGCGCAACAGGGGUUUCGCGGCAGGGAAAAGGGAAAAUGAGAGGGGAAAAGGACGCGCCGCCUGCCGCGACGCCAUUGGCGUUGGGGGUGGCAGGGCAACAGAGCUCUGUAAAAGGGACGUCACGCACACACUACAGUCUCGUCAACCCAGCGUCAGUCAGUCAGUCGGUCGGUCGGUCAUUCAGAGCCGGACAUGGACAUCACAGGAACGGAAGUCAACUCGACGGCGAGAGGCGACUUGUGCGAGCAAAAGCAGGGAGACGGCAAACGGCGCUGUUGCCUUGCCGCCACCGC